rnacentral:rRNA from 1 species
CAGCCGCCGCGGUAAAACCAGCACCUCAAGUGGUCAGGAUGAUUAUUGGGCCUAAAGCAUCCGUAGCUCGUUUUGUAAGUUUUCGGUUAAAUCCAUGCGCUUAACGUAUGGGCUGCCGGGAAUACUGCAUAACUAGGAAGUGGGAGAGGUAGACGGUACUCGGUAGGAAGGGGUAAAAUCCUUUGAUCUAUUGAUGACCACCUGUGGCGAAGGCGGUCUACCAGAACACGUUCGACGGUGAGGGAUGAAAGCUGGGGGAGCAAACCGGAUUAGAUACCCGGGUAGUCCCAGCUGUAAACUAUGCAAACUCAGUGAUGCAUUGGCUUGUGGCCAAUGCAGUGCUGCAGGGAAGCCGUUAAGUUUGCCGCCUGGGAAGUACGUACGCAAGUAUGAAACUUAAAGGAAUUGGCGGGGGAGCA